UUUAACUUCAAACUUAUAAAUAGCAUUGAUUAUAUCCCUAAUGCUCCUUUGUGUCAUUGUUAGUGCGACAUGCCCAGGCUGCAGCCCCUGAAUCUGUGGGGCAGUGCCUUCAUUACUGUACUGUAUUCAACAGGUGGCAGCUGAGAGCUGUGGGGCUCCCGAGGGCCCUAACAGCUGCAAGGAGAGGUGUGGCUCUUCACAGGAACAGCGCAAAAUGAAAAUCUGCAUUUCCUGGAACGUCCCGGAACCCCACUUUGCUGACUGGUAAUCGUCUGCCCAACAGGUGGCAGCGGAGCUGCAGCUCUCCCGAGUGUUGUAACGACUGCGCAGAGAUGUGUGGCUCUUCACGGCAGCAGCAAGGAACCCGAAUCUGCAUUUCCUGGAAUGCUCCAGAACCUCGCUUUUCUGGCUGGUAACUGUCUGCCCAGCAGGUGGCAGCAGAGCUGCGGCGCUCCUGAGAGCUUUAACGACAAGCACGGAGAUGUGUGGCUCUUCACGGGAACAGCAAGGAACCAGAAUCUGCAUUUCCUGGAAUGUCCCGGAACCCCACUUUGCUGACUGGUAACUGUCUGCCCAGCAGGUGAAGAUGCCUUUGACACUUCCAGUUGAUGACUUCCCCCCGGGACACCAUCGUCUUUCCAGCCCUCCCACACUCACUGCAAGCUCGGUUCGGUCGAGCCAUUACCCGAAUCCCCAGUCCAUUCCCUUUUCAUGAUCCUCCCGUCACUCUGCCACAAGCCCCUACCACCUCCCAAAGUCGUCGCAGGCAACGUGUGGGAUGCAGCACUCAGUCUCAUCCCACUCAGUUCAUCCCAUCAGCCUCAGCCCAGCGAUCCAACCCACCCACACCCUUCCUUAGGGCCCUUCUACUCCCAGGCCAAUCAACGCUUCCUUCUGAUGCCGUCUGCAUUCUAUCCUGGCUGCUUUAAGACUCGUGCCCCUUUGUGGCCAUUUUGAGAGUUGCGCUGACUUCAGCGUGUGCAUUCAAUUUAUUUCAACCAAAUCGGCUUCAAUUUUACAUUCAAUUAAUGUAAACCAAAUUGGCUUUAAGUUUGCCUUGCUUACGGGGUUGGGUUAGCCUUGCUUUGUUUGUUCCUAGGCAGGGCUAACCCAACCCCGUAACCAACGCCUGAGGGCUGUCGGAGGUGAUUUCUUUUCCUUCCCCGCCAGUCUGAAACUUGCGCCCCGUUGAGGCCAUUUGAAGAGUUGCGCUGAUUUCGGCGUCUGCACUCAAUUUAUUUCAACCAAAUUGGCUUUAGCCUUGCAGUCAUUUCGCAUCAACCAAAUUGGCUUUGGCUUUGCAUUCAACUUAUUUCAACCAAAUUGGCUUCAGUUUUAAAUUCGAUUCAUAUAAACCAAAUUGGCUUUAGUUUUACACUCAAUUAGUGUAAACCAAAUUGGCUUUAAGUUUGCAUUGCUUACGGGGUUGGGUUAGCCUUGCUUUGUUUGUUCCUAGGCAGGGCUAACCCAACCCCGUAACCAAGGGCCGUUGGAGGCCAUUUGUGUUCCUUCCCGGCCAGUCUGAAACUUGCGCCCCAUUGCGGCCAUUUGAAGAGUUGCGCUGAUUUCGGCGUCUGCACUCAAUUUAUUUCAACCAAAUUGGCUUUAGCCUUGCAGUCAUUUCGCAUCAACCAAAUUGGCUUUGGCUUUGCAUUCAACUUAUUUCAACCAAAUUGGCUUCAGUUUUAAAUUCGAUUCAUGUAAACCAAAUUGGCUUUAGUUUUACACUCAAUUAGUGUAAACUAAAUUGGCUUUAAGUUAGCAUUGCUUACGGGGUUGGGUUAGCCUUGCUUUGUUUGUUCCUAGGCAGGGCUAACCCAACCCCGUAACCAAGGGCCGUUGGAGGCCAUUUGUGUUCCUUCCCGGCCAGUCUGAGACUCGUGCCCCUUUGUGGCCAUUCUGAGAGUUGCAAUUUCUUUGGAUGGGCUGAGAUCUGCUCUGCUCUUGAGAUGGGUUGCAGUAUACAACAUUUUCACAAAUGUGAUGUGAGUAAUGGGGUAUGGAGGCUUUGUGCCCUUUCUCUGGUUGGUCUGACAUCUAUGUGAACUCUGUGUUACAACUGUGCUGAAUAUGUGUGUACUGCACCUGUAAAUUGCGUCGUGCCCUAUAUGCAAUGUGUGUUAUGUUGCGCCUCUAAACUGUGUUGUGCCAUGUACAGAAUGUAUGGAUGCUGUGCCUAUAAACUAAGUCUUGGAAUGAGAGACCUGUACUCAUUACAUGUUCUGCUUCUCAAGGUGUAGUUGCUGGUAUAGUGUAUAUGUAUAUGAAU